ACCAGUCAGAGCCCCAAGCUCGCGGUUCCGUGCCGUGCUGGAUGAAUGGUGGCUCGGGGGGGGCAGCCAUUUGAGAACGGCCUGUUCCUGUCGGCUCUGAAAGCAGAAGGCAUUAACAGCCUGGUGAUGUGGCCUCGGCUUAACUCUUUUGUAAGGCUGGCUUUGCGGCCUGUUUAAGCAUUCUGCGACCGUGGGGCCUGGAGUUCCUGGCACAGUCCACAGAGGUCCUCCUUGCUAACAGCCUCUCCUUGUCUACGACUCCAAGGGAGUUCUCCGCGGCAGCUUUCAGCCUUCAGAUCUGCCUGUCUCUGAGGGUAAUUGCUGGGAAAGAACCUAGCUGCAGCCCGGAGCCUGGUGCCCACGGCAGGCUGGGGAUUAAGUGCCUUCUGUCCAGCAGCGGCAGGUUCGAGGCCCCCUUUGGCCACCCCCAUGGCUCUACCCGACCUCCACUGAGUAAACUCUUUUAAUCUGAGAAAUUGCUUUGCCAGCCAGUCUGGUACAUUCCGGAUCCUUCGGCUCCAUAUAACAACGUUCCCUUAUGAGUAACUGCCAGCAUCUAGUGAACACGCUCCGUGACUGGGAAUCAUGGGUGUCCUGCUGCCUUUCCUCCCUGAGAAUACCAGCAUAACAUUUUUUGUCUCCUUGGAGCAUGAAGUGUGGGGGACAACUCUUUACAGAGGACUCAGAUGGCCUGGGAACAGCACAGAACAAGGAAAACAAAGAUGGCGGGCUGGAGUAUGUAUUGAUUUUAUAAUUAUAUAAAAGAAAAUGUUGAGCAGUUUGAAGGAAAGAGCUGACUGCCUUGGCCCCCUCUCCCAACGUCUGGUCUCUCCUCUGCGCUGUGCCCAGCUCGUACCCCACCUUCUCGGGGAUCCGCUCCCCAGCCCAGCAGCCGUGUGUCCACCACAGCACGUGACCCAAGAAGGGAAAGUCAGCCAGUCGGAUUUGUUCUGUCUCUGUCAGUCCCUCUGUCUCUGUUGGCCAGUCUGUCCAUUACUCCCUCUCUAGCUGCUGGCCAGGCUCUCCUUCCAUCUGUCUUCCUGCCUGUCCUUCUCUCUCACCCUUAAGGACCGCACGGUUUCUCUCCCAUCACAGUUUUCCUUCUCUCCUAGCUUAAUUUCCAGCGUUAACUCUCCUUACAAAAGUCAGCCAUGGCCCCAACGCUGCAUCCUGACUUCCUUUCGGUCUGUCUCCAAGCUUCUGGCUCAGUCUUGCCGAAGACCCCUACUCCCAUUACCUGCCCCCUACCCCGCCACCGCAUCCAGUCCUUCUCUUCUCCCCCUGCUGGACAAUGGGUUGUUGCCUUGGUCAAGUGUCUCCU